rnacentral:rRNA from 1 species
AUUGAACGCUAGCGGGAUGCUUUACACAUGCAAGUCGAACGAGUGGGGGACGGAUGAGCUAUAUAUCUGCACGUGCCCAGUAGCGAGGGAUAACUACUCGGAAGUGUGACUAAUUCCGCAUAGUAUUGGAGCGGCCGAUAUGGGAUUAGCUAGUUGGUGGGGUAAAGGCUCACCAGGACCACGAUCCGGAGCUGGUUUGAGAGGAGGACCAGCCACACUGGGACUGAGACACGGCCCAGACUCCUACGGGAGGCAGCAGUGGGGAAUUUUGGACAAUGGGCGAAACCCUGAUCCAGCCAUCCCGCGUGUAUGAGAAGGCCUUCGGGUUGUAAAGUACUUUUGGCAGAGAAGCGGUAUCUGCAGAAUAAGCACCGGCUAACUACGUGCCAGCCGCCGCGGUAAUUC